UACGUAGGGUGCGAGCGUUAAUCGGGAUUACUGGGCGUAAAGCGUGCGCAGGCGGUUUUGUAAGUCUGACGUGAAAUCCCCGGGCUUAACCUGGGAAUUGCGUUGGAGACUGCAAGGCUGGAGUCUGGCAGAGGGGGGUAGAAUUCCACGUGUAGCAGUGAAAUGCGUAGAGAUGUGGAGGAACACCGAUGGCGAAGGCAGCCCCCUGGGUCAAGACUGACGCUCAUGCACGAAAGCGUGGGGAGCAAACAGG
rnacentral:rRNA from 1 species